UUGCUGACGAGUGGCGCCCGGGUGAGUAACGCGUAGGAAUAUACCUUAAAGAGGGGGACAACCUGGGGAAACUCAGGCUAAUACCGCAUAAUAUCUUAGGAUUAAAGUUUGGGACCUUCGGGCCAAGCGCUUUAAGAAUAGCCUGCGUACGAUUAGCUAGUUGGCGGGGUAAGAGCCCACCAAGGCGAUGAUCGUUAGCUGGUCUGAGAGGGAGAUCCCCCACACUGGUACUGAGACACGGACCAGACUCCUACGGGAGGCAGCAGUGAGGAAUAUUGGACAAUGGGCGAGAGCCUGAUCCAGCCAUGCCGCGUGCAGGAAGACUGCCCUAUGGGUUGUAAACUGCUUUUAUACAGGAAGAAUAAGCCUUACGAGUAAGGUGAUGACGGUACUGUAAGAAUAAGGACCGGCUAACUCCGUGCCAGCAGCCGCGGUAAUACGGAGGGUCCGAGCGUUAUCCGGAAUUAUUGGGUUUAAAGGGUCCGUAGGCGGAUGAUUAAGUCAGGGGUGAAAGUUUGCAGCUCAACUGUAAAAUUGCCUUUGAUACUGGUCAUCUUGAGUUGUAUUGAAGUAGGCGGAAUAUGUAGUGUAGCGGUGAAAUGCAUAGAUAUUACAUAGAACACCAAUUGCGAAGGCAGCUUACUAAGUACUAACUGACGCUGAUGGACGAAAGCGUGGGUAGCGAACAGGAUUAGAUACCCUGGUAGUCCACGCCGUAAACGAUGGAUACUAGCUGUUCGGGACCUUGAGUUCUGAGCGGCUAAGCGAAGUGAUAAGUAUCCCACCUGGGGAG
rnacentral:rRNA from 1 species